rnacentral:rRNA from 1 species
GAUGAACGCUGGCGGCGUGCCUAAUACAUGCAAGUCGAGCGAACAGACGCGGAGCUUGCUCCUUUGACGUUAGCGGCGGACGGGUGAGUAACACGUGGGUAACCUACCUAUAAGACUGGGAUAACUUCGGGAAACCGGAGUUAAUACCGGAUAAUAUUUCGAACCGCAUGGUUCGAUAGUGAAAGAUGGCUCUGCUAACACUUAUAGAUAGACCUGCGCCGUAUUAGUUAGUUGGUAAGGUAACGGCUUACCAAGGCGACGAUACGUAGCCGACCUGAGAGGGUGUACGGCCACUCUGGGGCUGAAACGCGGUCCAGGCUCCUACAGAAGGCAGCAGUAGGGAAUCGUCCGAGAUGGGCGGAAGCCUGACGGAGCGACGCCGCGUUGGUGAUGAAGGUCUUCGGAUCGUAAAACUCUGUUAUUAGGGAAGAACAAACGUGUAAGUAACUGUGCACGUCUUGACGGUACCUAGUCAGAAAGCCACGGCUAACUACGUG